UACGUAGGGUGCGAGCGUUAACCGGAAUUACUGGGCGUAAAGCGUGCGCAGGCGGCUUUGCAAGACAGAUGUGAAAUCCCCGGGCUCAACCUGGGAACUGCAUUUGUGACUGCAAGGCUAGAGUACGGCAGAGGGGGAUGGAAUUCCGCGUGUAGCAGUGAAAUGCGUAGAUAUGCGGAGGAACACCAAUGGCGAAGGCAAUCCCCUGGACCUGUACUGACGCUCAUGCACGAAAGCGUGGGGAGCAAACAGG
rnacentral:rRNA from 1 species